rnacentral:rRNA from 1 species
UACAGAUGGGGCAAGCGUUAUUCGGAAUUAUUGGGCGUAAAGGGCGCGUAGGCGGUCUGGCAAGUGGAAGGUGAAAUCCCUCGGCUUAACCGAGGAACUGCCUCCCAAACUGCUUGGCUUGAGACCGGGAGAGGUGAGUGGAAUUCCCAGUGUAGCGGUGAAAUGCGUAGAUAUUGGGAGGAACACCAGUGGCGAAGGCGGCUCACUGGACCGGUACUGACGCUGAUGCACGAAAGGCGUGGGGAGCAAACAGG